rnacentral:lncRNA from 1 species
AAUACAUAAUGAAAUUUACUUUGAUUUCUAAAUUAACAAUUAAACAAAUCAAGUCAAUUGAAAAAUCAAUUCUAUACCAAUAAGAACAAACGAUCUUGGGAGUUUGAACACUCACUAAAAUCACCCUUCUAUAUACUAUCAAUGCAAGAACUUCAAUCUUUAUGGUACUACAAGCUUACAAAUUGCCAUACACUGCCAAAUUCGAUCUUUUUCCACCAAUAUACUUUUUCUUCUUCUAAAAAUUCAACGCAUAAAUACUUAUAGACAGAAGUUACACUUUCCAUAUAUAUAGUUCAUGUACAAAGAUGCUCUCCAUCAUGUGAAUCCAACCGUGUAAAGAGACAAAAAAAAAAAAGUGAUAGUGAUUAACUGAAACAUGAUGCUAGUGACCUGAACCUCUUCUGCUUGGCCCUGAAGACAUGGUUUGGAAUUUGUUCUCAGCCAAAACCCUGUUGCUCAUAUUACCCUCACUAGUGUUGGCCUUCUCUGCCAUCACUAAAUUGAUGAGAAAUCGAAUCACUUUGAGAGGCUCAUGAGGGGCCUUCUCUGUGUUUUUUUGUGGAGAAAGGACCCUACAGUUUACAAGGCUAGGCCUUGUGGCAGCAAGAACCGUGAGGAACACCAGAAGUAAAACAGAGAGCUUCAUAUCUUGUGUUGGCACAAGUGUUGAUGCACCUUCAAGGCUUCACAGCCUUGAAGUGCUUAUUAUUACUACUACUAUUACUAUUAUUCCCAAAUAAAAAGGGUGGAGAUAAAAAGAUUGGUUUGAUUUCGCUUGACAUCUCAAAUUGGACUAACCAAGGUGGCCUUACAUAUUAAGGGGUGCAGCAACGAAGGAAGAAAAAUGAACGGUGAAGGGGUUCUCGGUGUGGGACCUAUUGAAGGGCGUGGUUGACUGAAACUGUUUUUAUGAUAAUAAUCAGGCGCAGUUAUCGC